rnacentral:rRNA from 1 species
GAGUUUGAUCAUGGCUCAGGACAAACGCUGGCGGAAUGUAUUAGGCAUGCAAGUCGUACGAACCUUCGGGUUAGUGGCGAACGGGUGAGUAACACGUGGGUAACCUGCCUCGUAGUGGGGAAUAACUCGCCGAAAGGCGAGCUAAUACCGCAUAACACCCCUGGUGAGAUUCCAGGUGGUAAAAGCUCCGGCGCUAUGAGAGGGGCCCGCGGUCGAUUAGCUAGUUGGUGGGGUAAUGGCCUACCAAGGCGACGAUCGAUAGCUGGUCUGAGAGGAUGGUCAGCCACACGGGGACUGAGAUACGGCCCCGACUCCUACGGGAGGCAGCAGCUAAGAAUCUUGCGCAAUGGGCGAAAGCCUGACGCAGCAAUUCCGCGUGGGGGACGAAGGCCCUCGGGUCGUAAACCCCUUUUACGAGGGAAGAAGUUCUGACGGUACCUCGUGAAUAAGACACGGCUAACUACGUGCCAGCAGCCGCCGUAAU